rnacentral:rRNA from 1 species
UACGGAAGGCAGCAGUGGGGAAUAUUGCACAAUGGGCGCAAGCCUGAUGCAGCCAUGCCGCGUGUAUGAAGAAGGCCUUCGGGUUGUAAAGUACUUUCAGUCGUGAGGAAGGUGUUAAGGUUAAUAACCUUAGCAAUUGACGUUAGCGACAGAAGAAGCACCGGCUAACUCCGUGCCAGCAGCCGCGGUAAUACGGAGGGUGCGAGCGUUAAUCGGAAUUACUGGGCGUAAAGGGCACGCAGGCGGUUAAUUAAGUUGGAUGUGAAAUCCCCGGGCUUAACCUGGGAAUGGCAUUCAAGACUGGUUAGCUAGAGUCUUGUAGAGGGGGUAGAAUUCCAUGUGUAGCGGUGAAAUGCGUAGAGAUGUGGAGGAAUACCGGUGGCGAAGGCGGCCCCUGGGACAAAGGACUGACGCUCAUGUGCGAAAGCGUGGGGAGGCAACAGGGAUUAGAUACC